rnacentral:rRNA from 1 species
UGGCUCACGACGAACGCUGGCGGCGUGCCUAAUACAUGCAAGUCGAACGAGAGCGACCGGUGCUUGCACUGGUCAAUCUAGUGGCGAACGGGUGAGUAACACGUGGGUAACCUGCCCAUCUGAGGGGGAUAACAUUCUGAAACGGAUGCUAAAACCGCAUAGGUCUUCAAACCGCAUGGUUUGAAUAGGAAAAGAGGCGCAAGCUUCUGCUGAUGGAUGGACCCGCGGUGCAUUAGCUAGUUGGUGAGGUAACGGCUCACCAAGGCCGUGAUGCAUAACCGACCUGAGAGGGUGAUCGGCCACAUUGGGACUGAGACACGGCCCAAACUCCUACGGGAGGCAGCAGUAGGGAAUCUUCGGCAAUGGACGGAAGUCUGACCGAGCAACGCCGCGUGAGUGAAGAAGGUUUUCGGAUCGUAAAGCUCUGUUGUAAGAGAAAAACGAGUGUGAGAGUGGAAAGUUCACGCUGUGACGGUAUCUUACCACAUCGGGACGGCUAACUACGUGCCACCAGCCGCGGUAAUACAUACGUCCGGAGCGUUGACCGGAUGUAUUGAGCGUAUGGCGAGCGCAUGCGGUUUGAUAGCUCUGAAGUUAAAGGCUGUGGCUCAACCAUAGUACGCUUUGGAAACUGUUUAACUUGAGUGCAAGAGGGGGAGAGUGUAAUUCCAUGUGUAGCGAUGAAAUGCGUAGAUAUAUGGAGGAACAACUGGUGACGAAGCGGCUCUCUGGCUUGCUGACUGACGCUGAGGCUCGAAAGCGUGAUGGAGCAAACAUGAUUAGAUACGCU